rnacentral:rRNA from 1 species
UACGUAGGUGGCAAGCGUUGUCCGGAAUUAUUGGGCGUAAAGCGCGCGCAGGCGGUCCUUUAAGUCUGAUGUGAAAGCCCACGGCUCAACCGUGGAGGGUCAUUGGAAACUGGGGGACUUGAGUACAGAAGAGAAGAGUGGAAUUCCACGUGUAGCGGUGAAAUGCGUAGAGAUGUGGAGGAACACCAGUGGCGAAGGCAGCACUCUGGGACGUGACUGACGCUGAGACGCGAAAGCGUGGGGAGCAAACAGG